rnacentral:lncRNA from 1 species
CUUCAGUAGAAGCAUUGCCAUUUUCCCAGCUCACAUCCAUUUACAUCUUUGAGACAGUCCAGGCCCACCUGCUCAGGUGUGGCACAGCUCACAGUGACUGGGUCCUCCUAUGCCAACCAUCACCCAAGAAAAUGAGCCAUUGACAUACUGAAAGGACAUGUGAUGGUAGCAGCUCUUUAACUAUGAGUCCAUAGCUCCAGAGCACGCGAUUCUUCACUGGGUGUCUCUGAUCCUGACCUCAAUCUUGACUCUGUUCUUCGUGUCUCUGUACCUGGGGGGUGUUUAUACCUGCAGCAAGUCCACUGCUCACUCAGAGAAAGAGCUGGGUAACCCUCAAAGCUGUUUGUAAAUACUUCAGUGGAGAAAUACAAAGAGAAGAUGUGAAUGCCGGGAGAAGACUAUAACAUUAAAGCAGAAAUUGAUUUAAAAAUCCAACUUAGCAGAGGCAAUUACAAAUUCAAAGACGGAGCCCAAAUCAGAUCGGGCAGAGAAAAUGUGUUUGCUGCAAGGAAGGAAGUGAGCUUAUAUAACACCAAUUUCAAGUUGAUUUUGGACACAAACUUACCAAAUUUGACAACUGUCCUUGCAAAGCAAGAACAUUUUCACUUUGAGUGGGAACAAUGAAUGCUUUGUGUGUUUAAAACGUCCUUUCUUUA